rnacentral:rRNA from 1 species
CCUACGGGAGGCAGCAGUGGGGAAUAUUGGGCAAUGGGGGAAACUCUGACCCAGCGACGCCGCGUGCGGGAUGAAGGCCUUCGGGUUGUAAACCGCUUUCAGUAGGGAAGAAGCGAAAGUGACGGUACCUACAAAAGAAGCACCGGCUAACUAUGUGCCAGCAGCCGCGGUAAUACAUAGGGUGCAAGCGUUGUCCGGAAUUAUUGGGCGUAAAGAGCUCGUAGGUCGUUUGUUACGUCGGAUGUGAAAACCUGAGGCUCAACCUCAGGCCUGCAUUCGAUACGGGCAAACUAGAGUUUGGUAGGGGAGACUGGAAUUCCUGGUGUAGCGGUGGAAUGCGCAGAUAUCAGGAGGAACACCAAUGGCGAAGGCAGGUCUCUGGGCCAAUACUGACACUGAGGAGCGAAAGUCUGGGGAGCGAACAGGAUUAGAUACCCUGGUAGUCCAGACCGUAAACGGUGGGCACUAGUUGUGGGAACCUUCCACGGUUUCUGCGACGCAGCUAACGCAUUAAGUGCCCCGCCUGGGGAGGUACGAGUCGCGAGAAUAAACUAACUAAUAGAAGUAGACGCGNGAGAGUGCGACGACGACGACGAGGAGAGG